UAUUUCUGCCUAUGGUACACAUGAUGGCGCCAUUGAGCAACAUAAUGCAUGAGUGGCUAGCCUAUAGGCCAGCCAGGGAUACUCCAUUACUGUCAGGAGAUAAACUGUAAUAGAUCAACAAUCAGCACUGUUCAUCAACAAACACACACACGAACAUGCAUGCACGCACACACACACACGUAAACACACACUGAGUCUGGAACUUGCCCGAGUCUUUCCCGGUAGUUCAGAUGUUGUAUGGGUGUGUGUGUGUGUGUGUUAAUAUGUGUGUGUGCGUGUGUGUGUGGUAUGGGUAUGUUGCGCCCUAGACUAUUGCAGGAGUACUCUAGUGUAAGUGGUCCAACAGAUUUGCUAGGUGGUAAAGAUCUGGAUGGACUAUUUCUACUUUGAUCUCAUUUCUUGUAUUUCUUUGGUUCUCUGGGAAUAUGGUUUAUACUGCUACUGGUGUCUGGAGCUCUACCCCUCUGCCCUAUCAGACGCUCAGAAGUCCAUCCAGCUCAACCCUGAUUGGCCAAAGGGAUACUUCCUCAAGGGUAGUGCACUGAAGGGGUUGAAGUUUUCCUUAAGUGGCCUUCUGAAUAGGAAUGGACCAGGGUUUUAGGCUGCGUGUUGCUACUGAUGUCCACCUGACAGCACAGUAGAGAUCACAAUGUCCAGGGGGUGGAGCUGGAGAACACCAGGCUGGUAAUCAGGUACCCAGACCACUGGAUGCAGAG